rnacentral:rRNA from 1 species
GACGAACGCUGGCGGCGUGCUUAACACAUGCAAGUCGAACGCGCCUGUCCUCUGGGUUUCUGGGGGGUGGGUGAGUGGCGAACGGGUGAGUAACACGUGAGUAACCUGCCCCCUUCUUCGGGAUAACGGUCUGAAAGGGCUGCUAAUACCGGGUAUUCACUGGUCUCCGCAUGGGGUCUGGUGGAAAGGUUUUUUUCUGGUGGGGGAUGGGCUCGCGGCCUAUCAGCUUGUUGGUGGGGUGAUGGCCCACCAAGGCUUUGACGGGUAGCCGGCCUGAGAGGGUGACCGGUCACAUUGGGACUGAGAUACGGCCCAGACUCCUGCGGGAGGCAGCAGUGGGGAAUAUUGCACAAUGGGCGCAAGCCUGAUGCAGCGACGCCGCGUGAGGGAUGGAGGCCUUCGGGUUGUGAACCUCUUUCGCCCGUGGUCAAGCCGCGACGUGGGUCGUGGUGAGGGUAGUGGGUAAAGAAGCGCCGGCUAACUACGUG